rnacentral:piRNA from 1 species
UGCCGGUCCACAACAGUGUGUUCUUGA